UACGUAGGUGGCAAGCGUUGUCCGGAUUUAUUGGGUUUAAAGGGUGCGUAGGCGGCCCUGUAAGUCAGUGGUGAAAUACGGCAGCUCAACUGUCGAGGUGCCAUUGAUACUGCAGGGCUUGAGUACAGACGAGGUAGGCGGAAUUGACGGUGUAGCGGUGAAAUGCUUAGAUAUCGUCAAGAACACCGAUAGCGAAGGCAGCUUACUAGACUGUAACUGACGCUGAGGCACGAAAGUGUGGGAGUCAAACAGG
rnacentral:rRNA from 1 species